rnacentral:rRNA from 1 species
GGGGGAUGAGCUCGCGGGCUAUCAGCUUGUUGGUGAGGUAAUGGCUUACCAAGGCUUCGACGGGUAGCCGGCCUGAGAGGGUGACCGGCCACACUGGGACUGAGACACGGCCCAGACUCCUACGGGAGGCAGCAGUGGGGAAUAUUGGACAAUGGGCGAAAGCCUGAUCCAGCAACGCCGCGUGAGGGAUGACGGCCUUCGGGUUGUAAACCUCAUUCAGUACCGACGAAGCGCAAGUGAGGGUAGGUACAGAACAA